rnacentral:sRNA from 1 species
GCUGGGCAUGGUGGCACAUGCCUGUAAUCCCAGCAGCUUGGGAGGCUGAAGCAGGAAGAUGGCAAGUUCAAAGCCAGUCUCAGCAACUU